rnacentral:tRNA from 1 species
GACUCGGUACUUUAAGAUAAAAGACCUGAUUUGCAUUUAGAUAAUAAGUUAAAUAACUUUCGGGUC